UACGGGGGGGGCGAGUGUUAUUCGUAAUGAUUGGGCGUAAAGGGUUUUUAGGCGAUUUAUUAAGUUAUUAAUAAAAUAUCAAAUUUCAAGUUUGAUUUAAGUUUUAAUACUAAUUAAAUUGAGUAUAAUAUAAGAUUGCGGAACUCUCGAUGUAGGGGUAAAAUCCUUAGAUAUCUAUGGGGACCAUCAAUAGGUGAAGACGGCAAUCUCGUUUAUUACUGACGCUGAAAGACUAAAGCAUGGGUAGCAAACAGG
rnacentral:rRNA from 1 species